GAGUUUGAUCAUGGCUCAGGAUGAACGCCGGCGGUGUGCCUAAUACAUGCAAGUCGUACGCACUGGCCCAACUGAUUGAUGGUGCUUGCACCUGAUUGACGAUGGAUCCCAGUGAGUGGCGGACGGGUGAGUAACACGUAGGUAACCUGCCCCGGAGCGGGGGAUAACAUUUGGAAACAGAUGCUAAUACCGCAUAACAACAAAAGCUGCAUGGCUUUGUUAAAGAUGGCUUUGGCUAUCACUCUGGGAUGGACCUGCGGUGCAUUAGCUAGUUGUAAGUACGGCUUACCAAGGCGAUGAUGCAUAGCCGAGUUGAGAGACUGAUCGGCCACAAUGGAACUGAGACACGGUCCAUACUCCUAC
rnacentral:rRNA from 1 species